GACGAACGCUGGCGGCGUGCCUAAUACAUGCAAGUCGAACGCACUCUCGUUUAGAUUGAAGGAGCUUGCUCCUGAUUGAUAAGCAUUUGAGUGAGUGGCGGACGGGUGAGUAACACGUGGGUAACCUGCCCUAAAGUGGGGGAUAACAUUUGGAAACAGAUGCUAAUACCGCAUAAAACCUAGCACCGCAUGGUGCAGGGUUGAAAGAUGGUUUCGGCUAUCACUUUAGGAUGGACCCGCGGUGCAUUAGUUAGUUGGUGAGGUAAAGGCUCACCAAGACCGUGAUGCAUAGCCGACCUGAGAGGGUAAUCGGCCACACUGGGACUGAGACACGGCCCAGACUCCUACGGGAGGCAGCAGUAGGGAAUCUUCCACAAUGGACGAAAGUCUGAUGGAGCAACGCCGCGUGAGUGAAGAAGGUUUUCGGAUCGUAAAACUCUGUUGUUGGAGAAGAAUGUAUCUGAUAGUAACUGAUCAGGUAGUGACGGUAUCCAACCAGAAAG
rnacentral:rRNA from 1 species